AAAAAAGAUAAACCUGGGUUUCCGUGUCCAACAUUUGACUAUCCCGUAAUUAGUAUUUUCAUUAUUGUUAGAUGAUAAAACAUGAUUAAUAUUUUAUGCGUGACUUAUCUUUUUAUUUUUUUUCAUAAUUUUUUUAAAUAAGACGGACGGUAAAAUGUUGGACAUGGAAACCAAGAUUUGUCUUUUUU
rfam:Oryza sativa Japonica Group DNA, chromosome 9, cultivar: Nipponbare, complete sequence.